AGUCCUGAGCCGUUUCCUUCCGUGCCAUCUCAAAACGAAUGGAAACAAUCUGUUUUUCAAGCGGCGCCUCCUUCCUUCUGUGGCUCCCUCGUUUCUUUAUCUAAACCACUUGUUUUUGUUUUCUCCUUCUUUAUUUCUUCCUCCAAUGUCUUUCUGCUUUCUUUAUCUAAUCCACUUGUUUUUGUUUUCUCCUCCUUUAUUUCUUCUUCCAAGGUCUUUCUGCUUUCUUUAUCUAAUCCACCUGUUUUUGAUUUCUCCUUUUCAGCACUCUUCUUAGCUUCUGCCUCGA
rnacentral:lncRNA from 1 species